rnacentral:tRNA from 1 species
UCCAUUUAACGUAACCUAGGAAGAAAGGACUUGAACCUCUAUUUAAGAACCCAAAACUCUUCGUAUAUCCAA